AAAUAAAGCUCAGAGAGGAAAAUUAUUUAUUAAGAACUUUUUUUUCCAUAGAAAACAAUAAAACAUGUUGAAGAAAAAUAUAUAAUAUAAAGAAUAAAAAAAGAAAAAUGAUGCUUCCUGUAGUCUUAUUUCACUGUAGGUUAUUUUAUGCUUCACCUAAGGUGAUUUAAGAUAAAAUUUUAGGAACUAUAAUUUUAUUAUUCACAGAUAAAGACCUUUGAGUUUGUUCUCUGAUAAUGUGAAUAAGAACAAACCCUAUAACAAAUAUGGCACAAAAUCCAGGACUGCCCCUCUAGCUUACCUUCAAACACCAACAACUACAAACAAAACCUGAAAGCAAAAUCUGUAACCUUCAGAUAAGUUUAAAUCAGUGUUAUCUAGGCUUUCAUCAUUUGGCUCCUUAUAUAAUCUAAUAAGUACAUUCCUCCAAGUUUAUAUUGUUCAAAUUAAGGCAA